AAGGUGCGGGCAACGGCAGGUCCGUAUGCCCCGAAUCCCCCGGGCUACACGCGGGCUACAAUGGCCGGGACAAUGAGUUCCGACCCCGAAAGGGGUAGGAAAUCCCCUAAACCCGGUCUCACCUGGGAUCGAGGGCUGCAACUCGCCCUCGUGAACCUGGAAUCCGUAGUAAUCGCGCGUCAAAAUCGCGCGGUGAAUACGUCCCUGCUCCU
rnacentral:rRNA from 1 species